rnacentral:rRNA from 5 species
CCCUUACCUACCCUCGAGGUCGGCCCUACUGGGAAAGCCCACCCUACUAUGAAAAACCACUCUUUUUAUUAGGAUUACUGGCUAAAACCGUACAAGUAAGGUAGUUUGGUUGGGGCGACCGCCUUCGAAAAAGUAUCGAAGGCGCACAUAAGAUUAAUCAGGGGGGUUUUAGGCUCCAGGGGGUAAUGCCCCAAAAAAGAUUAGUUUGACUGAGAGGGCUACAACCCGAACAGGCGCUGAU